GUCAGGAUGGCCGAGUGGUCUAAGGCGCCAGACUCAAGCUCUAAAUGGAGGCGUGGGUUCAGAUCCCACUUCUGACA